GACGAACGCUGGCGGCGUGCUUAACACAUGCAAGUCGAACGGAAAGGCCCUGCUUUUGUGGGGUGCUCGAGUGGCGAACGGGUGAGUAACACGUGAGUAACCUUCCCUGGACUUUGGGAUAACUUCAGGAAACUGGGGCUAAUACCGGAUAGGAGCUCCUGCUGCAUGGUGGGGGUUGGAAAGUUUCGGCGGUUGGGGAUGGACUCGGGGCUUAUCAGCUUGUUGGUGGGGUAGUGGCUUACCAAGGCUUUGACGGGUAGCCGGCCUGGGAGGGUGACCGGCCACAUUGGGACUGAGAUACGGCCCAGACUCCUACGGGAGGCAGCAGUGGGGAAUAUUGCACAAUGGGCGGAAGCCUGAUGCAGCAACGCCGCGUGCGGGAUGACGGCCUUCGGGUUGUAAACCGCUUUCGCCUGUGACGAAGCGUGAGUGACGGUAAUGGGUAAAGAAGCACCGGCUAACUACGUG
rnacentral:rRNA from 1 species